rnacentral:rRNA from 1 species
GAUGAACGCUGGCGGCGUGCCUAAUACGUGCAAGUCGAGCGAACGGACGAGAAGCUUGCUUCUCUGAUGUUAGCGGCGGACGGGUGAGUAACACGUGGAUAACCUACCUAUAAGACUGGGAUAACUUCGGGAAACCGGAGCUAAUACCGGAUAAUAUUUUGAACCGCAUGGUUCAAAAGUGAAAGACGGUCUUGCUGUCACUUAUAGAUGGAUCCGCGCUGCAUUAGCUAGUUGGUAAGGUAACGGCUUACCAAGGCAACGAUGCAUAGCCGACCUGAGAGGGUGAUCGGCCACACUGGAACUGAGACACGGUCCAGACCCCUACGGGAGGCAGCAGUAGGGAAUCUUCCGCAAUGGGCGAAAGCCUGACGGAGCAACGCCGCGUGAGUGAUGAAGGUCUUCGGAUCGUAAAACUCUGUUAUUAGGGAAGAACAUAUGUGUAAGUAACUGUGCACAUCUUGACGGUACCUAAUCAGAAAGCCACGGCUAACUACGUG